rnacentral:rRNA from 1 species
CGUGUAGGCGGGAUAGUAUGUCGGAUGUGAAAGCCCUCGGCUCAACCGAGGAAUUGCGUCCGAAACUGCUAUUCUUGAGUACGGGAGAGGGAAGCGGAAUUUCCAGUGUAGAGGUGAAAUUCGUAGAUAUUGGAAGGAACACCGGUGGCGAAGGCGGCUUCCUGGACCGAUACUGACGCUGAGACGCGAAAGCGUGGGGAGCAAACA